rnacentral:rRNA from 1 species
AAAUUGAAGAGUUUGAUCAUGGCUCAGAUUGAACGCUGGCGGCAGGCCUAACACAUGCAAGUCGAACGGUAACAGGAAGAAGCUUGCUUCUUUGCUGACGAGUGGCGGACGGGUGAGUAAUGUCUGGGAAACUGCCUGAUGGAGGGGGAUAACUACUGGAAACGGUAGCUAAUACCGCAUAACGUCGCAAGACCAAAGAGGGGGACCUUCGGGCCUCUUGCCAUCGGAUGUGCCCAGAUGGGAUUAGCUAGUAGGUGGGGUAACGGCUCACCUAGGCGACGAUCCCUAGCUGGUCUGAGAGGAUGACCAGCCACACUGGAACUGAGACACGGUCCAGACUCCUACGGGAGGCAGCAGUGGGGAAUAUUGCACAAUGGGCGCAAGCCUGAUGCAGCCAUGCCGCGUGUAUGAAGAAGGCCUUCGGGUUGUAAAGUACUUUCAGCGGGGAGGAAGGGAGUAAAGUUAAUACCUUUGCUCAUUGACGUUACCCGCAGAAGAAGCACCGGCUAACUCCGUGCCAGCAGCCGCGGUAAUACGGAGGGUGCAAGCGUUAAUCGGAAUUACUGGGCGUAAAGCGCACGCAGGCGGUUUGUUAAGUCAGAUGUGAAAUCCCCGGGCUCAACCUGGGAACUGCAUCUGAUACUGGCAAGCUUGAGUCUCGUAGAGGGGGGUAGAAUUCCAGGUGUAGCGGUGAAAUGCGUAGAGAUCUGGAGGAAUACCGGUGGCGAAGGCGGCCCCCUGGACGAAGACUGACGCUCAGGUGCGAAAGCGUGGGGAGCAAACAGGAUUAGAUACCCUGGUAGUCCACGCCGUAAACGAUGUCGACUUGGAGGUUGUGCCCUUGAGGCGUGGCUUCCGGAGCUAACGCGUUAAGUCGACCGCCUGGGGAGUACGGCCGCAAGGUUAAAACUCAAAUGAAUUGACGGGGGCCCGCACAAGCGGUGGAGCAUGUGGUUUAAUUCGAUGCAACGCGAAGAACCUUACCUGGUCUUGACAUCCACGGAAGUUUUCAGAGAUGAGAAUGUGCCUUCGGGAACCGUGAGACAGGUGCUGCAUGGCUGUCGUCAGCUCGUGUUGUGAAAUGUUGGGUUAAGUCCCGCAACGAGCGCAACCCUUAUCCUUUGUUGCCAGCGGUCCGGCCGGGAACUCAAAGGAGACUGCCAGUGAUAAACUGGAGGAAGGUGGGGAUGAUGUCAAGUCAUCAUGGCCCUUACGACCAGGGCUACACACGUGCUACAAUGGCGCAUACAAAGAGAAGCGACCUCGCGAGAGCAAGCGGACCUCAUAAAGUGCGUCGUAGUCCGGAUUGGAGUCUGCAACUCGACUCCAUGAAGUCGGAAUCGCUAGUAAUCGUGGAUCAGAAUGCCACGGUGAAUACGUUCCCGGGCCUUGUACACACCGCCCGUCACACCAUGGGAGUGGGUUGCAAAAGAAGUAGGUAGCUUAACCUUCGGGAGGGCGCUUACCACUUUGUGAUUCAUGACUGGGGUGAAGUCGUAACAAGGUAACCGUAGGGGAACCUGCGGUUGGAUCACCUCCUUACCUUAAAGAAGC